UACAUAGGGCUCAAGCGUUGUUCGGAUUCAUUGGGCGUAAAGGGUGCGUAGGCGGCGCGGUAAGUCGGGUGUGAAAUCUCGGAGCUUAACUCCGAAACUGCAUUCGAUACUGCCGUGCUUGAGGACUGGAGAGGAGACUGGAAUUUACGGUGUAGCGGUGAAAUGCGUAGAUAUCGUAAGGAAGACCAGUGGCGAAGGCGGGUCUCUGGACAGUUCCUGACGCUGAGGCACGAAGGUCAGGGGAGCAAACGGG
rnacentral:rRNA from 1 species